GGAUGGGUGGCAGAGUGGUCGAAUGCGCACGCUUGGAAAGCGUGUUAGGUGCAAACCUACGAGGGUUCGAAUCCCUCCCCAUCCGCCA
rnacentral:tRNA from 1 species